GAAAAUUCCUUCCUCCUCCCAACCUCCCAAAAAAGUGUGACUGGAGGGAGGGAAUUCCUGCUGCAAGCUACUGAGUUCAGCAGGGUGGAGCUAUAAAGGGCAGGACUCCUCUGUGUUUUUGGCCUCCUUGGGCAGCUGAGAGUGGACGACAACCAACCAAUCAUCCCACGAAGUCCCAGCAGCACCACAGCGGACCACUGAACCUCAACUCUCAGCACCCUAACAUACAUCCACCUACAGACUCUGCCAGCAUCCUACACCCGCCGCCACCACCAGUAUAUUCUGAGAGACAGCUUCAACGCACCCAAAAACCUGAUCCAGAUCUUGCCCGCAUGCAGCCUUUUCCAGCAACCUGCAGUCUUCAUCGACACCUUCAGUCAACAGAAAGGUGCAGCUUGAACCUCCACCUGCAGCCUCUCCCAGCAUCCUGCAGCCCCCACCUGUCACCCAGAGAGCACCUUAGCACACCAUGAAGAUGCAGAGAGAUUUUGAGUUGUUUCAUUGUGAAUGGAAGUGAGGAGAUUAUCUGUAUACUGAUAAUGCCAAGGAGGAACUAUCCUAAUGCCAUGUAGAGACCUAAGUGGAAGAGCAGAGGCCAGGGACACACUCACUAUGGUAUUAUGUUGUGUGAAGGAAGAACACACAACCAUCAACAUGAAACUCUAUUAUCUGGCAAACUGGACCGUGAUGCUGAACUUCAUCUACCAGAAAGAGCUCUUCACUGCUAUCAGUGUGAUGCACAACAGCCCUGGUGGACUUCACAGACGUCCAGAUCUGACAGGAGCUGAUCAACAGCCGUGCAGAUGAUUCCUUCUACGAGAGGUGUGAGCAUCAGAGAUGCUUAUUCCUCCUCCUCAUCCUCCAUGUUCACCUCCAACUGCUGCUCUUCUCAAAGCUCAAUAAACUCCAUCAAUCUCUCCA